CUCAACUGUGUCAAGCGGCGAAAACUGUGGAACUUGAGGCUGGGAGGGGCUGGUGGAAUUCCCUGUGUAGCGGUGAAAUGCGUAGAGAUGGGGGAGAACACUCGUGGCGAAGGCGGCCAGCUGGACCAGUUCUGACGCUGAGACGCGAAAGCGUGGGGAGCAAACAGGAUUAGAUACCCUGGUAGUCCACGCCGUAAACGAUGGGCACUAGGUGUCGGCGGUAUACAUCCCGUCGGUGCCGGCGCUAACGCAGUAAGUGCCCCGCCUGGGGAGUACGGUCGCAAGGCUGAAACUCAAACGAAUUGACGGGGGCCCGCACAAGCGGUGGAGCAUGUGGUUUAAUUCGACGCAACGCGAAGAACCUUACCUGGGUUUGACAUGCACUAGGCCGGCAGCGAAAGUUGUCUUCCCUUCGGGGCUG
rnacentral:rRNA from 1 species